CCUCAGUAUGUCUUAGCAACUCUGGACCUACAAGUUUAGCUUCACUAAGCUCUGUCCAGUAUAAUGGGGUUCUACAUUUUCUGCCAUACAAUGCUUCAUAAGGGGCCAUUUUAAUACUAGCCUGAUAACUGUUAUUGUAAGCAAAUUCUACUAGUGGGAGAUAUCUUUCCCAGCUUCCUUCAAAUUCAAUUACACAACUUCUGAG
rnacentral:lncRNA from 1 species